rnacentral:rRNA from 1 species
UGGGGAAUAUUGGACAAUGGGCGAAAGCCUGAUCCAGCCAUGCCGCGUGAGUGAUGAAGGCCUAGGGUUGUAAAGCUCUUUUACUCGGGAAGAUAAUGACGGUACCGAGAGAAUAAGCCCCGGCUAACUUCGUGCCAGCAGCCGCGGUAAUACGAAGGGGGCGUAGCGUUGUUCGGAUUUACUGGCGUAAAGCGCACGUAGGCGGAUUCUUAAGUCAGGGGUGAAAUCCCGAGGCUCAACCUCGGAACUGCCUUUGAUACUGGGGAUCUUGAGUUCGGGAGAGGUGAGUGGAACUGCGAGUGUAGAGGUGAAAUUCGUAGAUAUUCGCAAGAACACCAGUGGCGAAGGCGGCUCACUGGCCCGAUACUGACGCUGAGGUGCGAAAGCGUGGGGAGCAAACAGGAUUAGAUACCCCAGUAGUCCUGAG